GGCGACAUACCCAAGUUGGUAAGGGACGGCUCUGCAAAAGCCAUAUUCCCCGGUUCGAGUCCGGGUGUCGCCU
rnacentral:tRNA from 1 species